rnacentral:rRNA from 1 species
UACGUAGGGGGCAAGCGUUGUCCGGAAUCAUUGGCGUAAAGAGCGUGUAGGCGGUCCGGUAAGUCGGCUGUGAAAGUCCAGGGCUCAACCCUGGGAUGCCGGUCGAUACUGCCGGACUAGAGUUCGGAAGAGGCGAGUGGAAUUCCCGGUGUAGCGGUGAAUGCGCAGAUAUCGGGAGGAACACCUAUGGCGAAGGCAGCUCGCUGGGACGUUACUGACGCUGAGACGCGAAAGCGUGGGAGCAAACAGG